CCUACCUUUUGUUAUAGGAGUGUUGGCCAUGACCCUUAUGACGGAUGGGGAAAGACAUCACAUCCUUCCUCUCCUACUUGCAGAAAUAUGAAUACUCAAGGUUAAUGUCAAGGACGUUUGUUCCACUUCGCAUCUGAAUUGACAAGGAAUGGACUCUUCAGCUCUGACAGAAAAUCUCUCUUCAGAAGUCUGGAAAAGCAGAAAGAGAAGAAUGAAGAAAUGUCCACAAAACUGCUCCUAUCCUUUACACCACAUAGGACCAAACUCUUGCCUUUCAUCAGUUUUCAGUUUGUACAUUAAUGUAUCCUGGUGAAGUUCCUCAACCACUUCUGCAACAUUCAAUUUUAAUUUAUAUUUGCCCACAUUAUUUCAUUUGUGAUUUGGACACAUGCAGGCUACUGAAUAUAAUGGAUACAAAUCUCUCACUGAUUCCCUUGAGCUAUUUCAUUGUUCUGCUUUCACAGGCAGGAGACAGUCAAGAAAUAAUGAUUCAGUUAUUUCUUAAACAUUUCACAAUUCUACAUUCAAUAAAGAGUAUGUGAAUUCCUGGAAGUUAUG
rnacentral:lncRNA from 1 species